AGAGUUUGAUCCUGGCUCAGAAUCAACGCUGGCGGCGCGCUUAACACAUGCAAGUCGAGCGAGAAAGCGGGAGCAAUCCUGUGAGUACAGCGGCGUACGGGUGAGUAACACGUGGAUGAUCUACCUUUGAGUGGGGAAUAACCCUGGGAAACCGGGGCUAAUACCGCAUGAGCCUGGGAAGGGAAAGCCGAAAGGCGCUCAAAGAGGAGUCCGCGGCCGAUUAGCUAGUUGGUAGGGUAAAGGCCUACCAAGGCGGGGAUCGGUAGCCGGCCUGAGAGGGCACACGGCCACACUGGCACUGAAACACGGGCCAGACUCCUACGGGAGGCAGCAGUGGGGAAUCUUGCACAAUGGAGGCAACUCUGAUGCAGCGACGCCGCGUGAGCGAAGAAGCCCUUCGGGGUGUAAAGCUCUUUCGGCAGGGACGAUCAUGACGGUACCUGCAGAAGAAGCUGCGGCUAACUACGUGCCAGCAGCCGCGGUAAUACGUAGGCAGCGAGCGUUGUUCGGAAUUACUGGGCGUAAAGAGUGUGUAGGCGGUCGUCUAAGUUCGGUGUGAAAUUUCCUGGCUUAACUGGGAGGGUGCGCCGGAAACUGGAGGGCUCGAGCGUGGGAGAGGAAAGCGGAAUUCCUGGUGUAGCGGUGAAAUGCGUAGAUAUCAGGAGGAACACCGGUGGUGUAGACGGCUUUCUGGACCAUAGCUGACGCUGAGACACGAAAGCGUGGGUAGCAAACAGGAUUAGAUACCCUGGUAGUCCACGCCCUAAACGAUGCAUACUUGGUGUCGGCCAUUCAGUUGGUCGGUGCCGGAGCUAACGCGUUAAGUAUGCCGCCUGGGGAGUACGGUCGCAAGGCUGAAACUCAAAGGAAUUGACGGGGGCCCGCACAAGCGGUGGAGCAUGUGGUUUAAUUCGACGCAACGCG
rnacentral:rRNA from 1 species